GGAUGUGAGGGCGAUCUGGCUGAGACAUCUGUCACCCCAUUGAUCUCCAGGGUUGAUUUGGCUGAUCUGGCUGGCUAGGCGGGUGUCCCCUUCCUCCCUCACUGCUCCAUGUGCAUGCCUCCAGAAACUGCGCGCCUUCCCCAAAUAGAGGCUGACCGGUCUUCAUUCGAGGGUAUACAAGUAGCUGCACUCCCCUGCUAGAACCUCCAAACAAGCUCUCACGGUCCAAGAUCCUUAGGCUGGUCCUUGCGCUUUGCUCCACCUGU
rnacentral:snRNA from 1 species